GGACAGAAAGACCCUAUGAAGCUUUACUGUAACUUGGAAUUGGAUUUGGGCUUUUCUUGCGCAGCAUAGGUGGGAGGCAAUGAAAGUAAGUUUGUGGAUUUACUGGAGCCAGCAAUGAGAUACCACUCUGGAAAAGCUAAAGUUCUAACUUUGAGCCGUUAGCCGGACAAAGAACAGUUUCAGGUGGGCAGUUUGACUGGGGCGGUCGCCUCCUAAAAAGUAACGGAGGCGUGCAAAGGUUCCCUCAGGCUGGUCGGAAAUCAGUCGUAGAGUGUAAAGGCAUAAGGGAGCUUGACUGCAAGACCUACAAGUCAAGCAGAGACGAAAGUCGGCCUUAGUGAUCCGACAGUACCGAGUGGAAGGGCUGUCGCUCAACGGAUAAAAGUUACUCUAGGGAUAACAGGCUGA
rnacentral:rRNA from 1 species